rnacentral:rRNA from 1 species
AGUGAACGCUGGCGGUAGGCCUAACACAUGCCAGUCGAACGGCAGCACAGUAAGAGCUUGCUCUUACGGGUGGCGAGUGGCGGACGGGUGAGGAAUACAUCAGAAUCUACUUUUUCGUGGGGGAUAACGUAGGGAAACUUACGCUAAUACCGCAUACGACCUACGGGUGAAAGCAGGGGAUCUUCGGACCUUGCGCGAUUGAAUGAGCCGAUGUCGGAUUAGCUAGUUGGCGGGGUAAAGGCCCACCAAGGCGACGAUCCGUAGCUGGUCUGAGAGGAUGAUCAGCCACAUUGGAACUGAGACACGGUCCAGACUCCUACGGGAGGCAGCAGUGGGGAAUAUUGGACAAUGGGCGCAAGCCUGAUCCAGCCAUACCGCGUGGGUGAAGAAGGCCUUCGGGUUGUAAAGCCCUUUUGUUGGGAAAGAAAAGCAGCAGGUUAAUACCCCGCUGUUCUGACGGUACCCAAAGAAUAAGCACCGGCUAACUUCGUG